CAGUAUGGAAGGGAUUCAUCCAUUCGAUGGGUUAACACCCUGACUUUGUCCAUGUUCCAGAGCAUCUUCAUCAUCCAGCCUCUGAAGGUUGUUGGUCUGGCCAUCUUCUUUGCACUCAUUCUGAGGCCGGUGGCAGUCGAGGACAACCAGGAGGUUGAGAUUUUGCUAGACGAACAACGUGAAAAAUGCGAGUCAUACUGUGGACGGCA